GUACACUCCUGCGGGAGGCAGCAGUGGGGAAUUUUGGACAAUGGGCGAAAGCCUGAUCCAGCAAUGCCGCGUGUGUGAAGAAGGCCUUCGGGUUGUAAAGCACUUUUGUCCGGAAAGAAAUCCUUGGCUCUAAUACAGUCGGGGGAUGACGGUACCGGAAGAAUAAGCACCGGCUAACUACGUGCCAGCAGCCGCGGUAAUACGUAGGGUGCGAGCGUUAAUCGGAAUUACUGGGCGUAAAGCGUGCGCAGGCGGUUUGCUAAGACCGAUGUGAAAUCCCCGGGCUCAACCUGGGAACUGCAUUGGUGACUGGCAGGCUAGAGUAUGGCAGAGGGGGGUAGAAUUCCACGUGUAGCAGUGAAAUGCGUAGAGAUGUGGAGGAAUACCGAUGGCGAAGGCAGCCCCCUGGGCCAAUACUGACGCUCAUGCACGAAAGCGUGGGGAGCAAACAGGAUUAGAUACCCGUGUAGUCCCA
rnacentral:rRNA from 1 species